rnacentral:rRNA from 1 species
AGAGUUUGAUCCUGGCUCAGAUUGAACGCUGGCGGCAUGCUUUACACAUGCAAGUCGAACGGUAACGCGGGGGCAACCCUGGCGACGAGUGGCGAACGGGUGAGUAAUACAUCGGAACAUGUCCUUGAAGUGGGGGAUAGCUCGGCGAAAGCCGGAUUAAUACCGCAUACGCUCUGAGGAGGAAAGCGGGGGAUCCGCAAGGACCUCGCGCUUUAGGAGUGGCCGAUGUCGGAUUAGCUAGUUGGCGGGGUAAAGGCCCACCAAGGCGACGAUCCGUAGCUGGUCUGAGAGGAUGAUCAGCCACACUGGGACUGAGACACGGCCCAGACUCCUACGGGAGGCAGCAGUGGGGAAUUUUGGACAAUGGGGGCAACCCUGAUCCAGCCAUGCCGCGUGAGUGAAGAAGGCCUUCGGGUUGUAAAGCUCUUUCGGACGGGACGAAAUGGUCAGGGUGAAUAUCCCUGACUGAUGACGGUACCGUAAUAAGAGA